rnacentral:tRNA from 1 species
UCCGAUAUGGUGUAAUGGCUAACAUCUGACGCUCUCAUUUCCUAAAAUAAGGGCCCGUCAAGCUCGGGGUUCGAUUCCCCGUAUCGGAG